ensembl:lncRNA
CCAGGAACCCGCUGGGGCCACCAGGAACCUGCUGGGGCCACCAAGAGCCACGCUGGGGCAACGAGGAACCCGCUGGGGCCACCAGGAACCCGCUGGGGCCACCAAGAGCCACGCUGGGGCAACGAGGAACCCGCUAGGGCCACCAAGAACCUGCUGGGGCCACCAAGAACCCGCUGGGGCCAUCAAGAGCCCUGCUGGGGCAAUGAGGAACCUGCUGGGGCCACCAAGAGCCACGCUGGGGCAACGAGGAACCCGCUAGGGCCACCAAGAACCUGCUGGGGCCACCAGGAACCUGCUGGGGCCACCAAGAGCCACGCUGGGGCAACGAGGAACCCGCUAGGGCCACCAAGAACCUGCUGGGGCCACCAGGAACCCGCUGGGGCCACCAAGAGCCCUGCUGGGGCAAUGAGGAACCCGCUGGGGCUACCAGGAACCUGCUGGGGCCACCAAGAACCCGCUGGGGUCACCAGGAGCCCGCUGGAGUCACCAGGAACCCGCUGGAGUCACCAGGAACCUGCUGGGGCCACCAGGAGCCUGCUGUGGUCGCCUAUGCCCUGCUGGGGUCACCAGGAACCCACUGGGCCACCAGGAACUCACUGAGGUCACUUGUCACCUGCUGGGGUCACCUGUCACCUGUGCCCUGCUCCACCUGCCCCACAGAGCCCCAGCGGAUCCUGCCGGGAGCUUGGGGAGCCCCGAGACCCCCAGAUCCUUGGGGAGGGACAUGGUGGCACCUGGAGGAGUCCAAGGACGUGACCCUGGAUGUGGCACUGCCCAGGGAGGACGUGGUGGCACCUGGAGGUGUCCCAAGAGCCAGUGCUGGAUGUGGCACUGCUGGAGAAGGGACGUGGUGGCACUGGAGGUGUCCCAAGAACCAGCACUGGAUGUGGCACUGCUGGAGAAGGGACGUGGUGGCACUGGAGGUGUCCCUGGAUGUGACAGCACUUGGAAAGGACGUGGUGGCACCUGGAGGUGCCCAAGGAUGCAAGGACAGAUGGAUGGGGAUGGACAGAGGUGGGCAGGAGGUGGCACCACCCGGGAGGACGUUGUCACCUGUGCCAGCUGCCGGAGGGGCGGGGUUGUCCUUCCCGCCUGGAAUUCCCAAAGGUCUCAGCAGGAGAAGGAUCCAGGCUGGGGUUGUCCAACAUCAGAAGGAGCUCCUGGACCCGGGAGAGGAUUCCUGGACCAGAGUUUGGAGAUGGAAAUUUUUGUGGGGAGGAGAAUCCCAAAUCCCAAAUCUGCGUUUUCCAGCCUGCCAGAAAUCAUUCCCACAAAAUUCCUUCUUCCGGUGGUGCUGGGAAGAGCCAUCUCCAAGGAAUGGGACAGCAAGUACCGUCCUGAGCCUGGGAUGGCAGAACUUCCAUCGUUCUCCACCUUCCAACCGUGGUUCCAUCUUCAGCCUGGAAUAUCCAACGGGAAUCCAUUUCCAUGGAUGGAUGGAUGGAUGAUGGAUGGAUGGAUGGAUGGAUGGAUGGAUGGAUGGAUGGAAUCCAUGGAUGGAUGGAUGGAUGGAUGGAUGGAUGGAUGGAUAGAUGGAUGGAUGGAUGGAUGGAUGGAUGGAUGAUGGAUGGAAU